GAAGUUGGAACUCAAGAUAAUGUAAGAAGCAAUAGUGAAAAAAAUAUGAUUGAGAAUUUCCUCAAACUGAUAAAAGACAACUUCAGAUUUUAAGAAGACAGAAAAAUAUGGGAGAGCAUUUGUGAAAACUGUGAUGCUCUGAAGGGAGGAGAGGAUGUGAUUACGCAGAAGAGAGAUGAAUCAUUUCCUGGAAACCGGAGCCUAUGGUGGGCUACCUCUGUUUGGGUGAGGAUGCAUGUGUCACUGACACUGUUGGUGUCCUUCCCUGUAUCUCCUCCGCACUUCUCAUUCCCUUGCAUGCUCAUGUGCAGCUAUGGGGCCACCCUGGUUCAAAGCGCCAAGCUGCUGACAGCAACAUAAGUUGCCACUGGGAGUCCUGUGUCCCCAGAGGAACCAGAGGAGUUGAGUAGCAUCUAAUUAUUCAGUAUAGAUAUGGACGCUAACUUGGACUUAGUACAUGUAUUACAUGGACUCCCUCCAAAUCACCAUGCCAAGCCUCUGGAGGACAGAAGAAUAUAAAUUGUUUAACUCCUCUUAAUCUCAGUUUCCAUCUAUGUAUACAGGAAAUAAA
rnacentral:lncRNA from 1 species